UUCCUCCUCCUCUCUCCUACAUCUCCCACACGCGCAGAACCAUCUAGGGCAAAAACCACAUGCACACAUGCCACAGUCGUCGCCGCCGCCGCCCCUACCCCAUCCUAUCCCCCAGCCCUCCAUCUCCAUCCAAGUCCUCUGUUCCGUGCCAGGGGCCUCCCGCGGUCUGAUGCAUCAACAUGGGAUGAGUUGUGGCGAUGGUGACGGCGGCCAGCAUGCUGUCGGGCUACCUGGUGGGGGCGGCAGUGCUUCACCGCAAAGGCGGGGCGCGCGGCCUGUGCUUGCGAUAGCCGCUGAUAGUAGAACAGCAGACCUACAAUGGGUAACCAUCUGCAAGAUCAGCAUGAUCGUUCACAUAAUGGUGGAUAUCGCGAGAUUCAUUAUCAAGUUGCAUACUUGCAUAUACUGUAGUGAACCACAAACAUGACUGGGAGAGGAGGGGAAGAAGAGGAUGCAUCCUGAAGACAGGUCGAGAAGCUUGCGGAGGCAGGAAGAUCGGGUACAAGGCUUGAGGAAUUAACUCCUUGGUGUACAUAUAGGCAAGGGAUGUAGUUAGUUGUCUUCCAAAUUCUGACGGUUACUCUGGUUUCAAGGCUUGUUCAGUGUGGCAUGGUGCUCCUAAGUCCUGCAAUGGAUGCACAUGUAUCAUUCUGUAUUGGGUACGUUCUUGGCAUCUGGUUGUGCUUUUGCUCUAUGAUUGCGGAGAAUUUAAAAUUAAUUAUUUGAGACUUUGUUUCUAUAUCAUCUUCUAGAUAUCCAGAGUGAAUUGCCCCGUUGACAAGCGGAUCCACUAAAUUGGUGCACUGGAUAAUAAUUUCCAAGGCAAUACCAAUAUGAGCAUAAGGACCAUCAAAUGUAUCACGUAUGAUUUGUUCAACGAAUACUGUAAUAUCCUCCCCAUAGAAAUGACUAUCAGAGGAUUCAUGUUGCAUUGCUUCUAGACGGCAUGUCGGACCAAUUGUUGAGAUUUAUGUGAAUAACCAUUCUGGUAAGAAGUUCGCGCAGAGUGUGACAAAAGGGUUGGGUCAAAAUAAAGUACAUGUAUUACUAAAAUCCAUCCCUCUCAUCUCAUGCAUGCAUAACCAGGCCGAUGGUAAUUUGUCUACUACUCUACUUACUGCAGUUCACGAUAAUUUGUCUACUACAUUACUUAAGCUUGAGGGUGAAGUAGAUGAUAAGUUGCAUUAUUUACCAAGUUUAUCUUGGUCAUAAGCCUGAGAUUUGCAUACACCAUAGAAGCCAUAUAAAUCUUUGAGAUGAACAGUCAAUGGCUUAUAUUGUUGGUGCAGGAGGGCGAGGCAGUGGCAAAGGUAUUGAGUAUGUUUAGAUCUUGAACCAUUUUGGGCUUGCCCAUCUGAGUGUUGGCGAUCUUCUUUGCGAAGAAGUCAAAUCCGAGCAAGGUUAACAAUCUGCUCUCAGUUUCUGUAUAGAUAUCUUUCUAAUGUCAGCCUGUUUCAGGUAGUACAAUGAUCAAGAAUCUCAUGCAUGAAGGAAAUCUUGCACCUUUUGAGAUCAUCAUCAGGCUACUGCUAUACCACAAUACCCACCACUAAGUUCGGCUGUUCCAUUUCGCUACAGGAAUUUUCAACUAAUGCAGCUGAUGCGUUACUAUAUUGAUAACUGAGCUUGCAUAGCAACACUUCAGACCAAUCCAUGAAAGUGUUCCCUUAUCCCUUUGAUACAUUUUAUUGUCUUACUAAUUAAUGUUGCAAGGAAUAUUCAGAGGUAUUUGGUUAUCCUCGUCCCCUCCCGCUCUCAAACCAAACGAGUCGAAUCCCUAGGAAAAUUGGCUAUCCCCAGCCCAUCCAAAGAUAGCCAGUGAACCAAACGCCACCUAAAGAGUAUACUCUCUGCAUCUCUUGUAGCAUGGUGGCCUAGAGCUAGAGGUCCUUGAGCCUAAAAUAAAAUGGCAUGCAUGAAAAACGGCCUAGAGAUAGAGGAAUUUAUAAGAAUGAGGGGUACCCUAUCCCACCUGCACGGUUGAUUAGGUCGUCGACCCGUGAGGGACAACGACCUUACUUUCAUAUGUAAUAUGUGUUUUUUUGAGCUAUGAAUAUUAGAUGGGGAAGGGUUGAAAUAUUUUAUGCACCCAUGGUUCCUAAAGGGUAUGAAAUAUGUGUUUUUUGCAGUAGUUCCUAAAUGGUCACCUCCAAGUGCCUUUUCAUAUGUAAUAAUUUGCCAUGCAAUUGCAUAAUGCAAUCAAGGCAAUGCUUGUAGUA